rnacentral:lncRNA from 1 species
CUUUGUUCAUCUUGACACUGUGCCCAUAUACUUCAACCCUGUGCAAAGAUGGUACUUCGCUCUUGUUGCCCAGGCUGGAGUGCAAUGGCAUGAUAUUGGCUCACUACAACCUCCGCCUCCUGGGUUCAAGCGAUUCUCCUGCCUUAGCCUCCCGAGUCACUGGGAUUACAGACAUGAACAACCACACCCAGCCAAUUUUGUAUUUUUAGUAGAGACAGGGUUUCUCCAUGUUAGUCAGGCUGGUCUCGAACUCCUGACCUCAGGUCAUCCGCCCGCCUCGGCCUCCCUAAGUGCUGGGAUUACAGGCAUGAGCCACCACGCCCGGCCAAUAUUUACUGUUUAUCUUCUCCUCCCCAACUCUUUUCUACCUAGAAGACAGUAACUUAAGCCUGCCUAUAUUUGAGAACAGAGUGGGUAAGGAAGCCCAUUGUCAACUGCAGAAUGUUUGAAAUUGCAUUAUCCCUGAGUGUUUAAUAGCAACAUUUUCCUCUACUAAAUAAAUGCUGUAUACACACACAGACACACCCCCAACACACACAUACACACACACACACACACACACAUACAAAAAUACAUAUGUAUUUAUUUAAAACAGAAAAAUAUUAUUUUUGUAUUUUAUGCUAAAAGAUGUUUAAAUCUUGAACUGAAUUCACAUAUCACUUCCCAUUCAUUCAUUUUUUAAGCUAAGAGUACAAACCUAAAUGAAGCUUUUCUUAGUCAUUUGAAAGCUGUCAUGGUCCAAUCACUUCUGAAGGAAAUAUUUUAGCAAUUACUUUAGUCAAUGUGCAUGGCAAUGGUCAGGGACUUUAUUUUAUUCAAAAUAAGUGGCAGUCAAUAAAGUAUUGCAGAUGAUAGACAUUUAGGAAACAUUAGCUGAAUUAUUCAAAAAGAAGUACAAAGUUUCUACUAAAUAUAUAUAUAUAUAUAUAUUCAGUAGAUAUAUAUUCAGUAGAUAUGAAUGUGUAUAUAGUGUCCGACUAAACAGUGCUUGGCUUAUUAUAACUGUAAUAUGACUAGAUUUCUUCCAUUUUCCUAUAUCAUAUUACAUAAAUUAUUAUUUAUAAAUCUCUAAAGGACCCAUGGAAUUUAAUAUAAAUUAUAACUAUUUCACUUACAACCCACUUACAAACUCCUUUUUCUAUGGACUUUCUGAUAGUGUUUGCCUUAUUUGAAUAAUAAAAUUGUCCAGUAGGAGCUCAUCACUCUAGACAGCAACAGGCAUCUGCAGAGUUCAUUAGAGAUUGCUCCAUAAAAAUAAAAAAUAAAAAAACUUCCUUUGCUGGGUCCCCCAUGUGUUUCUUUUACAACUAUAAUGAGAGCUAUUAUCUACGAAGCGAUGACUAUUUUCCAGGUAAUCAAUAAAACUUAAAAAUGGAUAUGUUAUCUUAAUGGGUACUGAAACUUAAAAAAUAAAAUCAUAAAUUGUCCAAAGACAAAUUAUUUGUAGAUGGGAGAGAUUCAAAGCCUGGUUCUCUUGCCCCAAUGGCGUCUUCCCUUAUCCUAUAAUAGUUUCUUAUAUUUUUUUUACAAGAGUUUCUUUAACCUUUAUGAUAUCUUUGGCUCUGAUGUGUUGUCUUCAUUAUAUUUGCCCUUCCUGCCCACCAUUCUCUUUUCCUGACCCAGCUGUGUUUUCUCUCCUGACGUGGUCCACGUGAAUUGUGGUCACCUGCUAUAAUCGGCCCUCUCUCCUUUGGCCUGCAGACGUGGCCUGUAGAGAGUCCCACAGCCUCAGUGGGCACAGCCUGGUCUUCACAGGGCCCACUUUGCCCCUCCUAGACUCUAGGAUCAUUGUGACUGGAACAAGAAUUAAAAGAAAUUUAAAAAUCUGUAAGCAAAAACUCAGUUGUAUGUAAGAAAACUAACUAUGCCUGAGGAAGAGAAAGAGCUGAAGUCCUUUAAAAAUUGACUGUCUGUUUUUCUGUGGCUAGUGAGCCUUAUCUCUCCCUUUCCCAGGCAUUGUGAAGACCCUGUUUCUCUAGCUGUGCAGCUGCAAGGUCACUAGACAGAUAAUCUCAAGUCAUAAAACAUGUUGUUCCUUAAAAAGUAAGAAAUAAUGUAAUGCACGUCUUAAUUGAAUAACUGUCUUUCUUUCUCGCUUCUGUAAUACGCUUCCCCCUGCACAAAUCUCCCCCCGCCCCACAAAAUGGUUAAAAGGUAGCUUGACUCAGUCCUUUGGAUGUUAAUCCGAUUGGGUCGGUGCAGGUAAAUAAUUAAAUAAUUCCUCCUCAACCCCUCGGUCUCUCUGAUUCCUUAAUUAUCCCGCUGCAUGACAACCAUGACAUAAGUCAUAAAUGAGGGGAACACUCAUUCUUCGAGAAUAUGCACAAUGGCUUUUAGUAAAUUGGCAAACUUCAGCCCAAAAUGACAUUUGAUUCUCUUCUAAGUAAGCAAAAUCCACUGCAGUCUUAACAUGUAACUAACUAGGUGAAACUUACUUUGUUACCAGUUCUUUUUGAGGUUUAACGGUUCUUUUGACAUUUAUUUUGCUUUAGAGAACAAAAUGCUUUUGAAAUUUUCAUCUGAGAUUACUAAUUGAACCUAGAGAGAGCUGAAUGAUUAUGCUAUAAAUCAGCCACAUCAGCUAUGACUUUCAGGGAUAAGAAAAUAAAAGAAUGUGUAUUUCUGGGAUUCAUAUGAAGGAAUUCAUUGCAUGUAAAAUAACAACUUUUAUAUGCUAAUGUCCCCAGAAAGUAAAGCUUUGGACUAAAAGAAUCAAUAAACAAAAUAAUUUGUUUUAAAUUAUAAAGCAAUACAAACACACUGUUUAACAAUAGAAAUUACAGAUGAACAAAAAGAAGAAAAUGAAAUUUGUUAGCAACUCCAUAUAUAACUAGAUAACCACUGAGUGGUUUGUAAAUGUUAAUUUUUUUUUUUUUUUGAGACAGGGUCUCACGGUGUUUCUCAUGCUAGAGCGCAGUGGUGCAAUCAUGGCUCACUGCAACCUUGAUCUCCCAAGCUCAAGCAGUCCUCCCACCUCAGGCUCCAGAGUAGCUGGGACUACAGGGGCGCACCAGGAUUCCUGAGCUAAUUUUUUUUAAAUUUUUUUUUUUGUAGAAAUGGGUCUAUGUUGCCCAGACUGGUCUUGAACUCCUGGACUCAAGCAAAUCCUCCCACCUCGGCCUUCCAAAAUGCUGGAAUUACAGGCAUGAGCCACUCUGUCCGGCCUUAAAUAUUUUUCUGUACAUGUGUUUUUAACACGAACACACUCAUGAGGGUCACCUCCUGCACGAGUCCGAGAGGUAUUCCAUUAUUUUGCACCAAUACCACAUUAUCAUAAACAAUGUAGAUUAAAAAAAAAUCCUGAUAUUUUUAUUUUUGAACAAACCCUCUGUUUACACUACUUCUUUAAAAGUAAAUUGACCCUUUGGAUCCUUUAUCCUCUCUUCUCAUAUGAAUCUUACAUUUGUUUGUCAGCUUCUAUGAAAAAAUCACGGGACAAUUUUUAUUGAAAUUUCAUUGAAUUGAUAGAUUGAUUUGGCAAGAAGUUUUUGAAAUCUUCCCAUCUGCGGAUAUAUUUGUUUAAUCAUUUACAUUUUAUAUUAAGUCUUUCUAUUUUUUUUUC